ACAGCAGUAGCCGCGGGAAUACGGAGGGUGCAAGCGUUAUCCGGAUUUAUUGGGUUUAAAGGGUCCGUAGGCGGACUUAUAAGUCAGUGGUGAAAGCCUGUCGCUUAACGAUAGAACUGCCAUUGAUACUGUAAGUCUUGAGUAUAUUUGAGGUAGCUGGAAUAAGUAGUGUAGCGGUGAAAUGCAUAGAUAUUACUUAGAACACCAAUUGCGAAGGCAGGUUACCAAGAUAUAACUGACGCUGAGGGACGAAAGCGUGGGUAGCGAACAGGAUUAGAGACCCCAGUAGUCCCUGUCUCUUAUAC
rnacentral:rRNA from 1 species